GAUGAAGAACGUAGCGAAAUGCGAUAAGUAAUGUGAAUUGCAGAAUUCAGUGAAUCAUCGAAUCUUUGAACGCACCUUGCGCCCUUUGGCCAUUCCGAAGGGCAUGCCUGUUUGAGUAUCAUGAACACCUCAACUCUUUAUGGUUUUCCAUGAUGAGCUUGGACUUUGGGGGUUUUGCUGGCCUAUGGUCGGCUCCUCUAAAAUAAAUCAGCUUACCAGUGUUUGGUGGGUAUCAUGGGUGUGAUAACUAUCUACGCUUGUGGUUUUUCCGCCAGGUAACCUUCGACAGCGGAGGUUCACUGGAGCUCAUAGAUGUCUCUCCUCAGCGAGGACAGCCCUUUGAAUGUUUGAUCUCAAAUCAGGUAGGACUACCCGCUGAACUUAAGCAUAUCAAAAGCGGAGGA
rnacentral:misc_RNA from 1 species